rnacentral:rRNA from 1 species
CUUGGUGGCCAUAGCGAGGAAUAACACGCUCCAUCCCAUCCCGAACUGGAAAGCGAAAGUCCUCAGCGGCAAUGGUACUGCGUCUUAUGGCGUGGGAGAGUAGCACGCUGCCAGGC